ACAAACUUGGUCAUUUAGAGGAAGUAAAAGUCGUAACAAGGUUUCCGUAGGUGAACCUGCGGAAGGAUCAUUAAAGAUUCUCUAAUCGGCUGUGCGCUUCGGCUGCACGUCGGUUUCAAACCACACACACACACACCUGUGCACCUCGGGCGUGGAAACGCGCCCGCCUUUAACAUAUAACUAGCAAACCGGAAUGUCUCAACUAUAAAAAAAAACAUAUACAACUUUCAACAACGGAUCUCUUGGCUCUCGCAUCGAUGAAGAACGCAGC
rnacentral:misc_RNA from 1 species